AAAGAACGCGGGGGGGAAAAAAGGAAGAAAAACUGGAAAAAAAAGGGGAAAGAAAAACUGGGGGGACAGGAGGAAAAAGGAAGACCCGAACCGACAGACGCAAGGGCAACCAAGGGAACACAGAGAAGAGGAGAUAAUAAAAAAGCAAGAACAGAGAGACUAUAGGGACCAGAGCUUUUCUUUCUUUCUUUCUUUGAGAACAGAGGCAGAGAGGAGGAACGAAACAGAAGUCACCCUCAUCACAAUCGUCUUCGGAAACCAGUGACGAGCGAACAGAGGAAAGAACCAGAGAAGAUGGAGGAGAGCAAGAGCUAGGGUGCUAUGCUUCAUCUUCGUCCCUAGAGUGCAAGCAAAUAAAAACAGAGGAGCUGCUGGCGUUGAUCAGUUCAGCCGCUCGUCUCCAGCUUCACCACACCAAGUCAGUAGCAGCCAAAGAAGCAAGGCCAGAAGAACAG
rnacentral:lncRNA from 1 species